rnacentral:rRNA from 1 species
UAGGGAAUCUUCCGCAAUGGACGGAAGUCUGACGGAGCAACGCCGCGUGAGUGAGGAAGGCCUUCGGGUCGUAAAGCUCUGUUGUUCGUGAAGAAGGGGUUGGCCAGGAAAUGGGCCGACAUUGACGGUAGCGAACCAGAAAGCCCCGGCUAACUACGUGCCAGCAGCCGCGGUAACACGUAGGGGGCAAGCGUUGUCCGGAAUGAUUGGGCGUAAAGGGCGCGCAGGCGGCCUCUUAAGUCUGAUGUGAAAGCCCACGGCUCAACCGUGGAGGGACAUUGGAAACUGGGGGGCUUGAGUGCAGGAGAGGGGAGUGGAAUUCCACGUGUAGCGGUGAAAUGCGUAGAGAUGUGGAGGAACACCAGUGGCGAAGGCGGCUCUCUGGCCUGUGACUGACGCUGAGGCGCGAAAGCGUGGGGAGCGAACAGG